GUUCCUCUUCUUCCCUCUGAAACUGUGGACUCCUCUCGCUCAAAGUCUUUCUAGCGUUCAACCAUUGAUCGCACUUCUCUUUCUCUGUUUCAAUUUCAAAGAACAAGUUUCUUUGCCCAUAUAAAAAGACAAAGAUAAUUAGAUUUGUGUUAUUCCUUUUCUGGGGGGAUUUUUAACACCCAUUUUAUAUCUCUUGACGAGAGGAAGGGACAAAGAGAGAAAGGAUGAUGGCCAAUUGUGACUAUGAAGAGCUGGAAGAAAUGGAUGAUGACCUGGAGGAAGAUGUAUUUUCACCAAACAUACAACAAUGGAAGAGUAUGCCAUUGCUGAACUCAGAUGCCAAGGAAAGAUAUAAUGAUAUUGCUGACCGAAGUCCAGAAGACUCUGCUAAAUUUCCUAAGCACAUAAAGCUGAUGAAAAACACUGACAUUGGAGAUGUUAUAAAAGAGCGAGCUCUUGCUUUCCUUCCAGCCAAGUCACUGUACAGGUUCAAAACCGUUUCAAAAGAGUGGGAUCAGUGGAUCAACAAUCCAUUUUUUGUUCACAUGCAAACUACUCAAUUCAAGGAAGUUUCUGGUCUUUUUUGUCAGCCCCCAGGUGAAAGUCCUUCCUUCAUCUCACUUGAUCCAACUGCUUUUGGCAUUCCUAGUGAAGGCCUCAGUUUCUUGCCUGAACCCGUUGAUAUCAGAACCACUUGCAAUGGAUUGAUCUGCUGUCAAGGCCGUGGUGGAGAUCAAGCCUAUUACAUUUGCAACCCUGUGAACAAGGAAUGGAGGAUGCUGCCCAAGCCAAAAUUGUAUCACGGACCUCAAACAGCCAUAGCACUAGCUUUCGAACCUGCUGUAUUCAACUUUAACGCAAAUUAUGAGCUCAUCUGCGUUGUCAAUUUGCCUGAUACUUCUGUUUUGUGUUUUGAGAUAUACUCCUCGAGGACAGACUCUUGGAGAAUCAGUGAAACAGUUUGCUUUGAGCUGAAUUCUGUAGCAUUGAAUGGUGAUGGAUUCUACAUGAAGGGAUAUGCCUAUUGGGAAACCCAGUGUGAUGCAAUUUUGGCAUUUGAUGUUAAGUAUGAAACUUAUGGGAUGUUCAGUCUCCCGCCUUGCAGAGAACCAACUGGUGCUUUGACAGAGAUACGAGGGAAUUUGUUCUACCUUAUGCCCCGCAAACAAGAUGAAUGCUCAAUUGAAGUCUACGGGGAUAUCAGUAUGAGUCUGAAGCAUGUGAUUCCUCUUGAUCCUAAAGCUCUGGGGAACACGGAUGGGUUGUGCAGGGCUUUGUCUUUUGUGAAUGAUGACACAUUUAUCCUUGAUCUUGAGGGGAAGAUUAUUGCUUAUAAUGCAACAUCACAUAAGGUGGAAUGCCUGAGAAAUGCAAGGAAUUAUGAAGGAUUUGCAAAGUAUCUGCCAUAUGUGAACAGCCUUGUAACUGUUUCCCGCCCGGUGUUUAGCAAAUGGGAGGAUGGCAUCUAGCUGCAGCGUAUGUAGAAACUAUUUUCUACCUUAACAUAUUUUGUCAGUUUACUCCCAAAACCCGUUGAGAGGAUUACUGACUUCCUAAUAUGAUGUUUUUGGUUGUUCAAAUUCAAAAUUCUAUGGAAGUUAACCUAAACGAACUUCCUUUUUGAGCUUGUAAUUUCUUUCAACACCGGUGGUUCUGAAUCAAUGAUCAAAUGAUAUGAACUGGUUUUUUCUUCGAUG
rnacentral:misc_RNA from 1 species